GGGCCGUUAGCUCAGUUGGCUAGAGCGCUACAUUCGCAUUGUAGAGGUCGGGAGUUCGACUCUCCCACGGUCCACCA
rnacentral:tRNA from 1 species